rnacentral:rRNA from 1 species
UAGGGAAUCUUCCACAAUGGGCGCAAGCCUGAUGGAGCAACACCGCGUGAGUGAAGAAGGGUUUCGGCUCGUAAAGCUCUGUUGUUAGAGAAGAACGUGCGUGAGAGCAACUGUUCACGCAGUGACGGUAUCUAACCAGAAAGUCACGGCUAACUACGUGCCAU